ensembl:lncRNA
CUCGACACACGCCUCGAAGCCUCGGCACGUCUCGUAACAUCGCUAAUAAACAGUUUAUCUGUAAAUCAACGUCAAAAAGAAAACCCAGCGCUAUAUGCAAAUUCUGCAACGCAACGCUCACUGAGGCGGCUGGAACCACAUCGAACUUUUACCGACACUUGGAGAGGAAGCAUAAAGAAAGACAAACACCUGAAUGAUCCCCAAGAGUUCUGGGAGAAUAUCCUCCGGAAUGAUGGACAGAACAUUUUGGAAGGGGGCAGAAAAGGCCACGGCCGGCCCUCAAAUCUCACUGGAACCCCUGAUAGGUCCUGCAACUACGAAGGGUAAGUGAAAGCAGC